GAAUAUUUGACAAUGGGCGAAAGCCCGAUCCAGCCCUGCCGCGCGUGUGAAGAAGGUCUUCGGAUUGUAAAGCCCUUUUUGCUGGGAGGAAGGGUCGUAGAUUUAUACUCUGCAAUUUUGUCGUUACCGACAGACUAACCACCGGCUACCCUCGCGCCACGAGCCGCGGUAAUACGAAGGGUGCAAGCGUUAAUCGGAAUUACUGGGCGUAAAGCGCGCGUAGGUGGUUUGUUAAGUUGGAAGUGAAAGCCCCGGGCUCAACCUGGGAACUGCUGUCAAAACGGGCAAGCUAGAGUAUGGCAGAGGGUGGUGGAAUUUCCUGUGUAGCGGUGAAAUGCGUAGAUAUAAGAAGGAACACCAGUGGCGAAGGCGACCACCUGGGCUAAUACUGACGCUGAGGUGCGAAAGCGUGGGGAGCAAACAGG
rnacentral:rRNA from 1 species